AGAGCGAACGCUGGCGGCAGGCCUAAUACAUGCAAGUCGAACGGAUCCUUCGGGAUUAGUGGCGGACGGGUGAGUAACACGUGGGAACGUGCCCUUUGGUUCGGAACAACUCAGGGAAACUUGAGCUAAUACCGGAUAAGCCCUUUUGGGGAAAGAUUUAUCGCCAUUGGAGCGGCCCGCGUCUGAUUAGCUAGUUGGUGGGGUAAAGGCCCACCAAGGCUACGAUCAGUAGCUGGUCUGAGAGGAUGAUCAGCCACACUGGGACUGAGACACGGCCCAGACUCCUACGGGAGGCAGCAGUAGGGAAUCUUGCGCAAUGGGCGAAAGCCUGACGCAGCCAUGCCGCGUGAAUGAUGAAGGUCUUAGGAUUGUAAAAUUCUUUCAGCGGGACGAUAAUGACGGUACCGCAGAAGAGCCCCGGCUAACUUCGUGCCAGCAGCCGC
rnacentral:rRNA from 1 species